UGAACGCUGGCGGCGUGCCUAAUACAUGCAAGUCGAACGAAUCUCUUCGGAGAUGAGUGGCGAACGGGUGAGUAAUACAUAGGUAACCUGCCCCUGUGCGGGGGAUAACAGGAGGAAACUCCUGCUAAUACCGCAUAGCCAUGAGCACCGCAUGGAGCUCAUGCCAAAUAUCCUUUCGGGGAUAGCGCAGGGAUGGACCUAUGGCGCAUUAGCUUGUUGGCGGGGCAACGGCCCACCAAGGCAACGAUGCGUAGCCGGCCUGAGAGGGCGGACGGCCACAUUGGGACUGAGACACGGCCCAGACUCCUACGGGAGGCAGCAGUAGGGAAUUUUCGGCAAUGGGGGAAACCCUGACCGAGCAACGCCGCGUGAGCGAAGAAGGCCUUCGGGUCGUAAAGCUCUGUUGUAAAGGAAGAACAGCGCAUACAGGAAAUGGUAUGCGAGUGACGGUACUUUACCAGAAAGCCACGGCUAACUACGUGCCAGCAGCCGCGGUAAUACGUAGGUGGCGAGCGUUAUCCGGAAUCAUUGGGCGUAAAGAGGGAGCAGGCGGCCGCAAGGGUCUGUGGUGAAAGACCGAAGCUAAACUUCGGUAAGCCAUGGAAACCGGGCGGCUAGAGUGCGGAAGAGGAUCGUGGAAUUCCAUGUGUAGCGGUGAAAUGCGUAGAUAUAUGGAGGAACACCAGUGGCGAAGGCGACGGUCUGGGCCGCAACUGACGCUCAUUCCCGAAAGCGUGGGGAGCAAAUAGGAUUAGAUACCCUAGUAGUCCACGCCGUAAACGAUGGUCACUAAGUGUCGGGGGUCAAACCCCGGUGCUGCAGUCAACGCAAUAAGUGACCCGCCUGAGUAGUACGUUCGCAAGAAUGAAACUCAAAGGAAUUGACG
rnacentral:rRNA from 1 species